CUUCCAUACAGCCACUUUCUCUCACUGCAGAUAGCGCGCCCCUUUGCAUUCGCCCAGGUGCUAAGGUUAGAGGUCACGCGGCUGUAGGAUACACCUUUACUUUGUGGCCCCUUUGUCCCCGGCACUCGAUAAAAAUUGCAGCGCAUAGCAAAAGGGUCACGUACUUUAAUUUUGCUUACUCCGUGAAUGAGUGCAAUUGAAAUGAAUAGAAAUGUGCAGCCGCUGGGUCGUCGAAAUGGGAAAGCCGUCGCCUCCUGGACACCACUGUGUGCCCCCUCAAUCCGCAUCGUAUCCCCAUCGUAUCACCCAUGACCCGGCUACGUGUGAACUUUGGACAAAUUGAGCGUGGGCGACGGACUGCCGAUGCCUGAAAUAUUUGCCGAGUGGCAGCGAAAGGGUUUCCGGCGCAUUUGCAUGCUGGCAGCCCAAUAUCAGUACCGCCGCCCAUCCAUCGAUUUGCAACCUGGCCAGCAGCGAGCCAGCACAUGGCCCAUUAAAAAACGGCAAGCAAAAAAACGGGAGACAUUUGAAUUAGAUGUGGCAAUUAAGCUAGAU
rnacentral:sRNA from 1 species